rnacentral:rRNA from 1 species
GACGAACGCUGGCGGCGUGCUUAACACAUGCAAGUCGAACGGAAAGGCCCUGCUUUUGUGGGGUGCUCGAGUGGCGAACGGGUGUGUAACACGUGAGUAACCUGCCCUUGACUUUGGGAUAACUUCAGGAAACUGGGGCUCAUACCGGGUAGGAGCUCCUGCUGCAUGGUGGGGGUUGGAAAGUUUCGGCGGUUGGGGAUGGACUCGCGGCUUAUCAGCUUGUUGGUGGGGUAGUGGCUUACCAAGGCUUUGACGGGUAACCGGCCUGAGAGGGUGACCGGCGACAUUGGGACUGAGAUAGGGCGCAGACGGCUACGUGAGGCAGCAGGCGGGAACAUUGCACAAUGGGCGGAAGCGUGAUGCAGCAACGCUGGGUGCGUGAUGAUGUCUUUCGGGUGGUAAACCGAUGUCGCCUGUGACGAAGCCUGAGUGACGGUAAUGGGUAAAGAAGCACCGGCUAACUACGUG